CUGCCCUCUGCUCCGAAGAAUGAGCAAGUUGAUCCUAAGGAUGCAGGAGGCACAAUUUUCUGCGGGAGGAAGGAUGACGGUGCCUUCCAGCGCGCCGACACCCGUGCCCCGCUCCCAGGCAAUGGCUCAGGCUGGGAACAAGACCCAAUGGAAGGCGUUUGGUCCGGAGCACAGAAUCCUCACAGGCCCGCAGGCUCGGAAAACAAGGUGUCUGGCCCCGCCCUCUGGGUUAAUUGCCCUGGGCGGGGCUUGGGCGGGGCCUGAGCCGCCCUGGUAGUAAAAGCAGGUCCUCGGCCAUCUCAGCCUAGGCUGGAGGAGCAGGGUGGAGGCCAGGCUCCUCGGACCCUGCGGGCGCUGGUUGGUCAGCAGGGCUCGUACCCAGCCGAGCUCCCUGGGGAGUUGGCCUGCUCUCCGACCUCUCCUGAGUGGCCAGGAUCUAGAUCUGCUGAAAGAUGUAAUUUGAUAGGGGAGUAGGGGCUCCAUGUUGGCUUUUGUUUCCAGCAGCUACUUCUGGAGGGCCCCGCAUCUCAAAGGUAUGGGACUUACUCAGGCAUGAGUGAGAUUUCCAUUCUGGUUUUGCUGGUGUGAUGUUCCUGCGUGUGUGUGCGUUUUCUCUGAUGGCCAGAGUUUCCCGGUUGAGGGGGUACAGCAGGGUGGGACACCCCCCACCCCCACCCCGUGUAUCUGGUUCCCUGUCAAGAUGUAGUCCCAUGGUAAUAUAUCAAAACCCCACUUCCCACCUGACACACGUGGGAAGCCCCUCUGUUCAGGCAUGCCCAAUCAAGCUGUUUUCCUUUCCUGGGUUUGUGUGUAGGUCUCAGAUGCCUCUGCUCCCAUAUUCGCCUCCGUUCCUGCAUUCAGUGACUCGGCUUUGCUGGGACCAUGGGAUACCCUGGACCUGGAGGAUGCCAGUUGUAUUUUCAGAGAAUGAAAGAGAAGCUGAAUCCUACAAUCAUGAGGGGGCAUUUCCGUCCAGACCCGGAACGUGGCGUGCUGUGGCCCUGGGCGCAGAGGAGGAGGUGACCUGUUCAGCUCUUCCUGCUGCUCUCCUGGAAUUCAGACUUGGAAUCACUGCCAAGAACUGGUCAUUGUUGUGUUCUGAAGACGUAGGAGGGAGAAGCUCUCAACAGUUUUCUUUGUUCUGA
rnacentral:lncRNA from 1 species